CAGUCGCCGCGGUAAUACGUAGGGUGCAAGCGUUAAUCGGAAUUACUGGGCGUAAAGCGUGCGCAGGCGGUUUGUUAAGACAGAUGUGAAAUCCCCGGGCUCAACCUGGGAACUGCAUUUGUGACUGCACAGCUAGAGUAUGGCAGAGGGGGGUGGAAUUCCACGUGUAGCAGUGAAAUGCGUAGAGAUGUGGAGGAACACCGAUGGCGAAGGCAGCCCCCUGGGCCAAUACUGACGCUCAUGCACGAAAGCGUGGGGAGCAAACAGGAUUAGAUACCCCAGUAGUCCCUGUCUCUUAUAC
rnacentral:rRNA from 1 species